rnacentral:misc_RNA from 1 species
GGCCUGAUAAGAAGCGCAUCAGGCAUUGAUGCUCGACUGUCGGAUGCGGCGUGGACGCCUUAUCCGACC